rnacentral:rRNA from 1 species
UCAAUAAGCGGAGGAAAAGAAACCAACAGGGAUUGCCUCAGUAACGGCGAGUGAAGCGGCAACAGCUCAAAUUUGAAAUCUGGCCCUUUCGGGGUCCGAGUUGUAAUUUGUAGAGGGUGUUUCGGGCGAGGCGCCGGCCUAAGUUCCUUGGAACAGGACGUCAUAGAGGGUGAGAAUCCCGUAUGCGGCCGGGGACCGACCCCAUGUGAAACCCCUUCGACGAGUCGAGUUGUUUGGGAGUGCAGCUCUAAAUGGGUGGUAAAUUUCAUCUAAAGCUAAAUACCGGCCAGAGACCGAUAGCGCACAAGUAGAGUGAUCGAAAGAUGAAAAGCACUUUGGAAAGAGAGUUAAACAGUACGUGAAAUUGUUGAAAGGGAAGCGCUUGCAACCAGACCUGUUUCCGGGUGAUCAGCCGUCGUUCUCGACGGUGCACUCGCCCGGUGCAGGCCAGCAUCGGUUCGGGCGGCUGGAUAAAGGCUGCGGGAACGUAGCUCCCCUCGGGGAGUGUUAUAGCCCGUGGUGCAAUGCGGCCAGCCUGGACCGAGGACCGCGCUUCGGCCAGGAUGCUGGCGUAAUGGUUGUAAGCGGCCCGUCUUGAAACACGGACCAAGGAGUCUAACAUCUAUGCGAGUGUUUGGGCGUCAAACCCAUGCGCGGAAUGAAAGUGAACGGAGGUGAGAACCCCGAAGGGCGCAUCAUCGACCGAUCCAGAUGUCUUCGGAUGGAUUUGAGUAAGAGCAUAGCUGUUGGGACCCGAAAGAUGGUGAACUAUGCCUGAAUAGGGUGAAGCCAGAGGAAACUCUGGUGGAGGCUCGCAGCGGUUCUGACGUGCAAAUCGAUCGUCAAAUUUGGGUAUAGGGGCGAAAGACUAAUCGAACCAUCUAGUAGCUGGUUC